GCGGUGGUGGCGGAAUUGGUAGACGCGCUAGCUUCAGGUGUUAGUGUCCUUCGGACGUGAGGGUUCA
rnacentral:tRNA from 1 species